rnacentral:rRNA from 1 species
UCGAGAAUCUUUCGCAAUGGGGGAAACCCUGACGACGCGACGCCGCGUGGAGGAUGAAGGCCUUCGGGUUGUAAACUCCUGUCAGCAGGGGAGAACAAGCUUUUGAUGAAUAAUCGAGAGCUUUGACAGUACCUGCAGAGGAAGCCACGGCUAACUCUGUGCCAGCAGCCGCGGUAAUACAGAGGUGGCAAGCGUUGUUCGGAUUUAUUGGGCGUAAAGGGUCCGUAGGCGGCCUGAAAAGUUGGAUGUGAAAUCCCACAGCUUAACUGUGGAACUGCAUUCAAAACUCUCAGGCUCGAGUAUGAUAGGGGUAAUGGGAAUUCCCGGUGUAAGGGUGAAAUCUGCAGAGAUCGGGAGGAACACCAGUCGCGAAGGCGCAUUACUGGAUCAUUACUGACGCUGAGGGACGAAAGCCAGGGGAGCAAACG